UCGUCCGUCUGUCGGUCCCGUAUUCAUUUUGUUUCCAGAGCAUAACUAAAAAAAAUUCAAUAUUUUUCAACAAAAAUUGGUAUAUAUAUCAAACAGAAUCUAAAGUGGUGCCCUUUGCUAAUUACAGAUUUUAGACAUUUUAGCUUUUCCCG